GUGUCAGCAGCCGCGGUAAUACGAAGGGAGCGAGCGUUAUUCGGAAUUACUGGGCGUAAAGGGCGCGUAGGCGGUCUGUUAAGUCAGUUGUUAAAGCCCAUGGCUUACCCAUGGAUCAGCAAUUGAUACUGGCAAACUAAGAGGGCAAGAGAGAGAGGUGGAAUUCUCGGAGUAGCGGUAAAAUGCGUAGAUCUCGAGAGGAACACCGAUGGCGAAGGCAGCUUCUUGGCUUGUACCUGACGCUGAGGCGCGAAAGCGUGGGGAGCAAACAGGAUUAGAUACCCCCGUAGUCC
rnacentral:rRNA from 1 species